UAUUCAACUCCUCUUCCUCUUGGUCACCACUUUUUCCCUUCAUUCCAAAACCAAAAAUAUCAGAGUCCUUAGGGUUUUCCACUCUUCAUUUCUUAAAUUGGAUACAGAAGUUCGAAGAGAAUGUGAGUAUCAAAUCUUAGUGUGCUCAUGCUCUGCUAGUUGGGGUGGCAACAAUUCAGGUACCUGACAUGAAUCUCACUGCAUCUCAAGAUGCUUCGGGGAGUUGAACCAGGGAGAAUGUUGAAAUGGGAGAAAAGUGAAGAUUUUUAACAAACAGUCAAGAAUAUUGAAGAUUUGCUGCCGACAAAGAACUGGGCUUAUAGAUACUAUGGAUCAUGCAAAUGAAACUGAUGUGAAGUUCAACAAUAAACGUACAAGAGGAGUAACAAAGAAACCGCAAAUAGCUAAAAAUCGAAGUCGUGGUAUCAAAGAGAUUGUCCAAUACAACAAAAAAGGACAACCUCAUGGAAAAGAGCAUACUGAUCUUGAAUCCACACUAGUUAUGCUAGCACGUACUACAGUGCCAAUCACUUAUAAUGAUUGGCGAGAAGUUCCAGAAGAUUUUAAACAUAAGAUGUGGGAUUACGUGGAGAAAUCAUUUGUUGUGGAUCAUCGUAGUAGGAAAAAUAUUAUAUCGUCGAUUGGAAUUAAGUUUCGAUCAUUCAAGCAUGCACUGACCAAAUACCAUAUUAUUCCUUUUAUGAAUGAUCCUGAGCAUCUAAAGAACCCACCAGAUUUGUACAACUUUAUUCAAAAAGAACAUUGGGAUAAAUUUGUAGCAAGUCGAGUUUCUGACGAAUUCCAGGCACUUAGAAAACUUCAACAAGAAAGGCGGGAUAAACAUAUCUACAACCACAGACUUGGCCGACAAGGCUAUGUUGGCUUAGAAUUGAAGAUUAAAGAUGAGCUUGGAUCUAGUGAUGAUGAUGAACUUGAUCGGAGUGAACUCUGGAAAAGGGCUCGUCAAAUGACUAAUGGGCUAUUUGAUCCAGCAACACAAGCAAUUGUAGACAAGAUAGAUGAACUGACCAAGCAAUCUAAGUUAGGCUUGUUGGAUAAAAUAGUUGGUGAUCAGGAUAUUUUGACUCAAUCUUUGGGCACACCUGAGCAUUGUGGUCGUGUUAGGGGUGUGGGAAAGUUUGUCACUCCAACUAUUCCACACUCCUCAAGCCCCAGUUGAUUGGAAUAAGAGAGAAAAAAAUUAUUGCCAACGACUCGCCGCACUAGAGGAAACGGUAAAAGCACUAAGUCAGCAACAGCCUCCCACACCACAUUCAGACGUUUCUUCUAAUAACUUAAGGAACAAAGUUGUCUACAAUGCUCAAGUAAAGGAGACUUUUGCUGCUGCUGUGGAAAAAAAAGUAGAUAAAGAUCAGACCUGUCAAUUGGCGCUAGUCUACAAAGAUAAUGUUGUUGCCACAGGAACAAUUCUGGAAUCUGGUACUCCAAAUGUUUUGGUGGUUAUUGAAGUGGUUUUGGAUCCAGAUGCACUCCUUCCAUUCCAAAUUGAUGAGUGCUUGGUGAAUGUGAAGGAUGGGGUAGGGCAUCAUGUACUUUGGCCUAAGGAAUUUGUUCUUCACACAGUUCCUAAGGGGAGAAAGGAAAAGCUGAUAUUGAAAAGGUACCAUUUCAUAAGGAUGAGAAGACUCUUAAAAAGGGUCCCAAUAAAGUUGAGAAAACACCUUUCACUGACAAUUCUCUUCUGGAAAUCCAAAAAACAUCUUCUUCUCUCUCAUUUGUCUCCAAAUAAAAUGUAUGUAUUUCUUUGGCAAAAAAAAAAAGUAUGUAGAACCAAAAAUUCAGGAAAUUAUUGAAUCUAUGCCCAAGUAUAAUUUCCUCUUCUCACCCAA